rnacentral:rRNA from 1 species
CCUACGGGCGGCAGCAGUGGGGCAUAUUGCACAAUGGGGGAAACCCUGAUGCAGCGACGCCGCGUGAAGGAAGAAGUAUUUCGGUAUGUAAACUUCUAUCAGCAGGGAAGAAACUGACGGUAACUGACUACGAAGCCCCGGCUAACUACGUGCCCGCAGCCGCGGUCAUACGUAGGGGGCAAGCGUUCUCCGGAUUUCCUGGGUGUAAAGGGAGCGUAGGCGGUUUAGCAAGUCAGAAGUGAAAGCCCGGGGCUCAACUCCGGGACUGCUUUUGAAACUGUUGGACUAGAUUGCAGGAGAGGUAAGUGGAAUUCCUAGGGUAGCGGUGAAAUGCGGAGAUAUUAGGAGGAACACCAGUGGCGAAGGCGGCUUACUGGACUGUAAAUGACGCUGAGGCUCGAAAGCGUGGGGAGCAAACAGGAUGAGAUACCCUGGUAGUC